rnacentral:rRNA from 1 species
GGAGACCUGUAUGAACGGCAAAACCUUUUCAAACUGUCUCCCUCCCUAACCUUUUAAACUCCUUUUUACGCGAAGAAGCGUGAAUACAUCAGAAAGACGAGAAGACCCUGUCGAGCUUCAGCCAAUAAGUGAGCCAACAAAACCUAUGUGUUAACAUCACCCAAAGGCUUUGGUUGGGGUAACCAUGGAGAACACUAAUCCUCCAGAACAAGCAGACGAACUCUCUUCCCUACUAAACGAGCUAAAGAACCAGGAACUGGUAAUCGGAAAAAGUUACCGCAGGGAUAACAGCGUCAUCCCCUUUAAGAGUCCUUAUUGACAAGGGGGUUUGCGACCUCGAUGUUGGAUUGGGGCCCCCUUAGGGUGCAGAAGCUCUAAACGGUUAGACUGUUCGUCUAUUAAAGCCCUACGUGAUCUGAGU